GAUAACCUACCGUAUACAGGGGGAUAACACUUAGAAAUAGGUGCUAAUACCGCAUAAGCGCACGGUUCCGCAUGGAACAGUGUGAAAAACUCCGGUGGUAUACGAUGGAUCCGCGUCUGAUUAGCCAGUUGGCGGGGUAACGGCCCACCAAAGCGACGAUCAGUAGCCGGCCUGAGAGGGUGAACGGCCACAUUGGGACUGAGACACGGCCCAAACUCCUACGGGAGGCAGCAGUGGGGAAUAUUGCACAAUGGGGGAAACCCUGAUGCAGCGACGCCGCGUGAGUGAAGAAGUAUUUCGGUACGUAAAGCUCUAUCAGCAGGGAAGAAAAUGACGGUACCUGACUAAGAAGCCCCGGCUAACUACGUGCCAGCAGCCGCGGUAAUACGUAGGGGGCAAGCGUUAUCCGGAUUUACUGGGUGUAAAGGGAGCGUAGACGGCAGCGCAAGUCUGGAGUGAAAUCCCAUGGCUUAACCAUGGAACUGCUUUGGAAACUGUGCAGCUAGAGUGCAGGAGAGGUAAGCGGAAUUCCUAGUGUAGCGGUGAAAUGCGUAGAUAUUAGGAGGAACACCAGUGGCGAAGGCGGCUUACUGGACUGUAACUGACGUUGAGGCUCGAAAGCGUGGGGAGCAAACAGGAUUAGAUACCCUGGUAGUCCACGCCGUAAACGAUGAUUACUAGGUGU
rnacentral:rRNA from 1 species